rnacentral:tRNA from 5 species
GGCCCCAUCGUCUAGCGGUUAGGACGACGGCUUUUCAAGCCGUUAACCGGGGUUCAACUCCCCGUGGGGCUA